ACCCCACCGGGGUGAGUAAUACAUGUCUAACAUGCCCCUCUGUGGGGGAUAGCCGCUUGAAAAAGCGAUUAAUACCCCAUAGGAAGCUUUAUCUAUGAUUUAGCUUUUAAAGCCUUCGGGCGCUGAGGGAUUGGGAUAUGCUCUAUUAGCUAGUUGGCGGGAUAAAAGCCCACCAAGGCAAUGAUAGAUAGCUGGUCUUAGAGGAUGAACAGCCACAAUGGGAUUGAGAUACGGCCCAUAUUCCUACGGGAAGCAGCAGUAGGGAAUCUUCCACAAUGGACGAAAGUCUGAUGGAGCAAUACCAUGUGAACGAUGAAGGCCUUUUUGGUUGUAAAGUUCUUUUACGAGGGAUAAUUAUGAUAGUACUUCGUGAAUAAGUGACAGCAAACUAUGUGCCAGCAGCUGCGGUAAUACAUAGGUCGCGAGCAUUAUUCGGAUUUAUUGGGCGUAAAGCAAGCGCAGGCGGAUGUGUAAGUUCUGUGUUAAAUGCAGCUACUCAAUAGUUGUAUGCACCGAAUACUACAUGUCUAGAUUGUGGUAGGGAGUUUCGGAAUUAAGCAUGGAGCGGUGGAAUGUGUAGAUAUGCUUAAGAACACCAGGGGCGAAGGCGGAAACUUAGGCCAUAAAUGACGCUUAGGCUUGAAAGUGUGGGGAGCAAAUGGGAUUAGAUACCCCAGUAGUCCACACCGUAAACGAUGGGUAUUAGAUAUUAGGGCUUUAGCUUUAGUGUUGUAGCUUACGCGUUAAAUACCCCGCCUGGGUAGUACAUAUGCAAAUAUGAAACUCAAAGGAAUUGACGGGGACCUGAACAAGUGGUGGAGCAUGUUGCUUAAUUCGAUAAUACACGAAAAACCUUACCAAGGUUUGACAUCCCUCGCAAAGCUAUAGAAAUAUAGUAGAGGUUAUCGAGGUGACAGGUGGUGCAUGGCUGUCGUCAGCUCGUGUCUUGAGAUGUUUGGUUAAGUCCCGCAACGAGCGCAACCCCACUCUUUAGUUACUUGUCUAAAGAGACUGCACAGUAAUGUAGAGGAAGGAUGGGAUCACGUCAAGUCAUCAUGCCCCUUAUGCCUUGGGCUGCAAACGUGCUACAAUGGCGAACACAAUGUGUUGCAAACCAGCGAUGGUAAGCUAAUCACCAAAUUU
rnacentral:rRNA from 1 species